rnacentral:rRNA from 1 species
GUCCAUGCUGUAAACUAUGAGAACUUGCUGUUGGAUGCAUAAAGGCAUUUAGUAGCGAAGCUAACGCGUUAAGUUCUCCGCCUGGGGAGUACGGCCGCAAGGCUAAAACUCAAAGGAAUUGACGGGGGCCCCGCACAAGCGGUGGAGCAUGUGGUUUAAUUCGAUGCAACGCGAAGAACCUUACCUACUCUUGAAUCCACGGAAUCCUGCAGAGAUGCGGGAGUGCCUUCGGGAACCGUGAGACAGGUGCUGCAUGGCUGUCGU